UCCUGGCUCAGGAUGAACGCUGGCGGCGUGCUUAACACAUGCAAGUCGAACGGAGCACCCCUGAUCGAGUUUUCGGACAAGUGAAGGGAAUGCUUAGUGGCGGACGGGUGAGUAACGCGUGAGGAACCUGCCUUGGAGAGGGGAAUAACACAGUGAAAAUUGUGCUAAUACCGCAUGAAGCAGUUGAGUCGCAUGGCUCUGACUGCCAAAGAUUUAUCGCUCUGAGAUGGCCUCGCGUCUGAUUAGCUAGUUGGUGGGGCAACGGCCCACCAAGGCGACGAUCAGUAGCCGGACUGAGAGGUUGACCGGCCACAUUGGGACUGAGACACGGCCCAGACUCCUACGGGAGGCAGCAGUGGGGAAUAUUGGGCAAUGGGCGCAAGCCUGACCCAGCAACGCCGCGUGAAGGAAGAAGGCUUUCGGGUUGUAAACUUCUUUUAUUGAGGACGAAACAAAUGACGGUACUCAAUGAAUAAGCCACGGCUAACUACGUG
rnacentral:rRNA from 1 species